rnacentral:rRNA from 1 species
ACUUAACUUGGAGUCCGAACACUCACUUUCUAACCCUGUGCAUCUGUUUUAAAAUUGGCUAGUAGCUCUUCGGAGCGAACCACCAUUUUUCACUUAUACAAACACAAAGUCUAUGAAUGUAAACAAAUUUAUAACAAAACAAAACUUUCAACAACGGAUCUCUUGGCUCUCGCAUCGAUGAAGAACGCAGCGAAAUGCGAUACGUAAUGUGAAUUGCAGAAUUCAGUGAAUCAUCGAAUCUUUGAACGCACCUUGCGCUCCUUGGUAUUCCGAGGAGCAUGCCUGUUUGAGUGUCAUGAAAUCUUCAACCCACCUCUUUCUUAGUGAAUCUGGUGGUGCUUGGUUUCUGAGCGCUGCUCUGCUUCGGCUUAGCUCGUUCGUAAUGCAUUAGCAUCCGCAACCGAAACUUCGGAUUGACUUGGCGUAAUAGACUAUUCGCUGAGGAUUCCAGACUUGUUCUGGAGCCGAGUUGGGUUAAAGGAAGCUUCUAAUCCUAAAGUCUAUUUUUUGAUUAGAUCUCAAAUCAGGUAGGACUACCCGCUGAACUUAAGCAUAUCAAUAAGCGGAGGAA